GGGAAUGCGGGAAUGGGGGAAUGCGGGAAUGGGGGAAUGGGGGAAUACGGAAAUGGGGGAAUACGGGAACGGGGGAAUGCGGGAAUGUAGGGUUAACGAAUUUUUCUUGAAACAGUCUAUCCAAAGAAAUAUUUAAAUACGUGUUGAAAGGAAAUCCACUGUAUUGCAAUUAUUUAAAUGAAAGUGUUGGCGUGCACAGACUCUUUAUUAAUAUGACUUCGAAAACAAAAAGAAAAUAGUCGAACUACGGUAGAAGUAAUAUUCGUAGUGUUUUAAUAAUAUAAAACCUUGCGGUAUAUUAAAAAUACCUAUAUUUUAAGUGUUUUAUUACUGUGCAUUAAUACAAUAUUAUUCAAGGUGUUCUUCAGGGUGUUCUUAGUGAAAAUUUAAAAUUUAAAUAUUACUAAAGUAAAAAGUAAGAGAGCAGUCAUUAUUAAUGCCGG